UAGUGAGUUUGAUCCUGGCUCAGGGUGAACGCUGGCGGCGUGCUUAAGACAUGCAAGUCGAACGGACUGCUUCGGCAGUUAGUGGCGCACGGGUGAGUAACACGUAACUGACCUGCCCCAAAGUUCCGAAUAACCCUCCGAAAGGAGGGCUAAGACGGAAUGUGCUGUCCCCUCGUGUGGGGCCAGUAAAGGCUGUGACCGCUUUGGGAUGGGGUUUGCGUUCCACCAGCUGGUUGGUGAGGUAAAGGCUUACCAAGGCGACGACGGAUAGCCGGCCUGAGA
rnacentral:rRNA from 1 species